rnacentral:rRNA from 1 species
AACGCGAAGAACCUUACCACCUUUUGACAUGCCCGGACCGCCACAGAGAUGUGGUUUUCCCUUCGGGGACCGGGACACAGGUGCUGCAUGGCUGUCGUCAGCUCGUGUCGUGAGAUGUUGGGUUAAGUCCCGCAACGAGCGCAACCCUCGCCUUUAGUUGCCAUCAUUAAGUUGGGAACUCUAAAGGUACCGCCGGUGGUAAGCCGGAGGAAGGUGGGGAUGAUGUCAAGUCCUCAUGGCCCUUACAAGGUGGGCUACACACGUGCUACAAUGGCGACUACAGAGGGCAGCAAACCAGCGAUGGGGAGCCAAUCCCUAAAAGUCGUCUCAGUUCGGAUUGCACUCUGCAACUCGAGUGCAUGAAGUCGGAAUCGCUAGUAAUCGCGGAUCAGCACGCCGCGGUGAAUACGUUCCCGGGCCUUGUA